rfam:Legionella shakespearei DSM 23087 strain ATCC 49655 Lsha_ctg044, whole genome shotgun sequence.
AGACGAGGCUACCGCCUCUCCUCAGCCCGAACGGCAUCGAAGUAACGACUGGAUAAAACAACGUUCUUAUCCGAAACUCACG